rnacentral:lncRNA from 1 species
GUUGUAAAUUGGUGGUGGGUACGCCAGGCUGUGUUGACAUCCAUUACACCAGUAUCUAGAACAAUAUAUUUAGGCGAAAUAAUACUGGUUUUAUAUGCACCGAUCAUAUACACUGUAUAAUAUUCCUGCACAUGCACACAGUUGCUUACAGUAAAUCAGUUGCUAAUCCGUGCUACACUACAAAAGUAGUGGUACUCCAGAUAGUGGAGGAAAGAAUAGAGAAGAAG